GAGAAUUGUACCUGUACCAAAACCAUGGACAAUCCAUCCUUAUCCCACCUUGUGUGCACGCAUUGAAACCAUGCUUUGGGAGGUUUCUCCUUUGUUGGAAUUGGAGAUCCUCAAGCCUCCCAAGGUUGUUCUCCUCGUAACACCUUUUCCUGAAAAAUCAAACAUAAUAAAAAAAAAAUA
rnacentral:misc_RNA from 1 species